rnacentral:rRNA from 1 species
UACGUUGGUCCCGAGCGUUGUCCGGAAUUAUUGGGCGUAAAGCGCGCGCAGGUGGUUUCUUAAGUCUGAUGUGAAAGCCCACGGCUCAACCGUGGAGGGUCAUUGGAAACUGGGAGACUUGAGUGCAGAAGAGGAUAGUGGAAUUCCAAGUGUAGCGGUGAAAUGCGUAGAGAUUUGGAGGAACACCAGUGGCGAAGGCGACUAUCUGGUCUGUAACUGACACUGAGGCGCGAAAGCGUGGGGAGCAAACAGG